rnacentral:rRNA from 1 species
GACGAACGCUGGCGGCGUGCUUAACACAUGCAAGUCGAACGAGACGAUUGAAAGCUUGUUUUCGAAAGUCGAGUGGCAAACGGGUGAGUAACGCGUAGACAACCUGCCUUUGAGAUGGGGACAACAGUUCGAAAGGACUGCUAAUACCGAAUGUUGUAUAUUUUCCACAUGGAAGAUAUAUUAAAGAUGGCCUUUAUUUAUAAGCUAUCGCUCAAAGAUGGGUCUGCGUCUGAUUAGCUGGUUGGUGGGGUAACGGCCUACCAAGGCGACGAUCAGUAGCCGGUCUGAGAGGAUGAACGGCCACAUUGGGACUGAGACACGGCCCAGACUCCUACGGGAGGCAGCAGUGGGGAAUCUUCCACAAUGGACGAAAGUCUGAUGGAGCAACGCCGCGUGAGUGAAGAAGGGUUUCGGCUCGUAAAGCUCUGUUGUCGGGGACGAAUGUGCAGUAUUUGAGUAAAGUACUGCAAUGACGGUACCUGACGAGGAAGCCACGGCUAACUACGUGCCAGCAGCCGCCGUAA